rnacentral:rRNA from 1 species
CUCUAUGGCCAUGCCACCCUGAACAGGCCCAAUCCCAUCUGAUCUCGGAAGCUAAGCAAGGUCAGGCCUGGUUAGUACUUGGAUGGGAGACCACUUAGGAAGACCAGGUGCUGUAGAUG